GACGAACGCUGGCGGCGUGCUUAACACAUGCAAGUCGAACGGAAAGGCCCUGCUUUUGUGGGGUGCUCGAGUGGCGAACGGGUGAGUAACACGUGAGUAACCUGCCCUUGACUUUGGGAUAACUUCAGGAAACUGGGGCUAAUACCGGAUAGGAGCUCCUGCUGCAUGGUGGGGGUUGGAAAGUUUCGGCGGUUGGGGAUGGACUCGCGGCUUAUCAGCUUGUUGGUGGGGUAGUGGCUUACCAAGGCUUUGACGGGUAGCCCGCCUGAGAGGGUGACCGGACACAUUGGGACUGAGAUACGGCCCAGACUCCUACGGGAGGCAGCAGUGGGGAAUAGUGCACAAUGGGCGGAAGCCUGAUGCAGCAACGCCGCGUGCGAGAUGACGGCCUUCGGGUUGUAAACCGCUUUCGCCUGUGACGAAGCGUGAGUGACGGUAAUGGGUAAAGAAGCACCGGCUAACUACGUG
rnacentral:rRNA from 1 species